rnacentral:rRNA from 1 species
UGGGGAAUUUUGGACAAUGGGCGAAAGCCUGAUCCAGCAAUGCCGCGUGUGUGAAGAAGGCCUUCGGGUUGUAAAGCACUUUUGUCCGGAAAGAAAUCCUUGGCUCUAAUACAGUCGGGGGAUGACGGUACCGGAAGAAUAAGCACCGGCUAACUACGUGCCAGCAGCCGCGGUAAUACGUAGGGUGCAAGCGUUAAUCGGAAUUACUGGGCGUAAAGCGUGCGCAGGCGGUUUGCUAAGACCGAUGUGAAAUCCCCGGGCUCAACCUGGGAACUGCAUUGGUGACUGGCAGGCUAGAGUAUGGCAGAGGGGGGUAGAAUUCCACGUGUAGCAGUGAAAUGCGUAGAGAUGUGGAGGAAUACCGAUGGCGAAGGCAGCCCCCCUGGGCCAAUACUGACGCUCAUGCACGAAAGCGUGGGGAGCAAACAGGAUUAGAUACCCCUGGUAGUCCACGCCCUAAACGAUGUCAACUAGUUGUUGGGGAUUCAUUUCCUUAGUAACGUAGCUAACGCGUGAAGUUGACCGCCU